rnacentral:lncRNA from 1 species
UCUAUUAUUAUUACACAUAAAAAAGAAAAAGGUUUUUGCUUUCAAAUCUAAACCCUAUUAAUAGGUAUCAUUAUAGCCAUUAGAUAUCCGUCUCGUCUGAAGAACUUCCCGCGGGAACGAGUUCCAACAAUAAUAGCGAGAAAAUUAAAAAUUUUAAUGCUAUACUACAGUGAUAAUUCAAACAGUAUGCGUUUUUUUACUUAUCGUACACCCGUUUAGAUAUUUUAAAAUAAAAAAAUAUUUAUUUCGGUACGAUUUACGAUAAUAAUUUAUAGGCGAGAUUGCAGGUAUUACGCUACGAUUAUAAUAUAAUAUAGUCUGACAUAGUCAUAGACUACAUAAGAAAACUAUGAAUACUUUGGUGAAAAACGGUUAGUCGAAAAUAAUACUUGUUAUAAAAUUAUGCAUGCGUUAGGUUUGGACGGUAUAUAUAUAUACACACAUUAUAUAAGCUCGACGUGUAUAAUAUAAUAAUAAUGUAACGACUUCUUCGGUAUAUAACAGUAAAGUACGAGACGAAGUAUAAUUUAUUUUUCGUCUAAGACAAUUCCACCCCCUCCACCCCUAAUAUAUUAUUAUGUGUACUGCACUCCCCCGGCCGUGCGGAAAAAUAAUAACUGAUGGGUCUGCGUAUUGGUUCAUUUCUCGAUCUGGUCUUAUCGGGUUAGGCACCCUGCAAACGACCGUGCAGCAGUGGCGCGCGGCAAUAAGUCAACGGCCGCCGAGACACAAAAGAACAGAAAUCGCCACGGAGGAGAGAAGUCUCUCCAGUAUAUAUAAUAUGUACUCGCCGUAUUAUGUGUACUCCUCCUCUCUCGGCCCCCAUCGCCACACCAUAUCGUGUACACACACACACACACACACGUGCGCGUAUAUAUAUAUAUAUGUACGUACACACGAGGAAAUGACCUGCGCGAGGAGGGGAACUUCGACGACGACGGCGGCGAUGAGUCAUCUGAACUUUAUAGCGGAGGGUAAUACGUACGUAUAUAAAUCGAGUGAUAUAAAGGGUCGAGACACCGUCUUGGUUUCGCCGCUGUGUAGAUGAAAACAAAAAAAAAAAAAUAAAUAAAUAAAAUUACCGAAAUAUUAAGUACCUACAUUAUUCUGAUACAUCGCGCAGCGUCAGUGGCGGGGGGGGGAGGGGCAUACGUCGCGUCGUCCGCGUCGUCCUCCGGGAACCAUUCAUCAACGGCGAUGUAGGUAUAUCAUUCAAUGUAUGCAUUUUUAUUACGAUAUGGGAGUGUUGUUUCCCGAGUCGUAUUUAUUAUGAUUAUUAUUUCGCGUUCCAAUCGCGCACUACCGUUUUCGUUUGUAGGCGGAUAAAUUAUUACAGAAUCUUGAUAAUCAAUAGUAUAAUGUCGUUUAUAUUAUCCCGCCGUUGAGUUUAGAAUAAAUUACCGAUAUUAUUAUUAUUGUUACUAUUUGAGUAAGGUAGAACCGAAAUUCCUCGUUUAUUUAAAAAAAAACAAACCGCGACAAUAACACGGGGAAAGGGUUUUACAACGAAUAAAUCCAAAAUGCAUUUUAGUCGUCGUUCUCUAUAAUAUACAUGUUUUUAAAAUCAAAGUCUGAAACAUGCGAGUUUUGAAUUUAAAGGCGCACGGAACAUCCUAGUUUUGGAUAAUUAAAACAGAACAUGGGAGUUAUCAUAUUAUGAAUCGUACGAUAUUUGAUACGAGUCUAAUGGGGUUCUGCAGUAUCAAAACUCACGUUAAUCAAUGGAACUUGUUAGAAUUUUGACACAAACCGCUACUUUCCGGUUAAAUUUAGAGCCGCUGUCUUAUUGCUAAGAGUUUUGAAACAACGAAUUAAUUACAGAAUUCAAAAAAUCUUUUGAAAUAAUGUCAAUGUUUUCCCCUUUUUUUUUUCUUUUUUUUUUAACUUAGCCUACUUAAUUUACUAUUCCCCGAUUGUGGAGUUUUGUAAAAAAAUACAAAUAAUUACAUUUCAUUAGCGGAUAUAAAAAUACGACAAUCUACUGAGAAAAAAAAACAAAACAAAAUUACCAACCGUAAAAAUACAUUUAAAAAUACCGCGGUGUUUAUUUUAAUUUUUUAUUUUUAUGUCAGUCACGUCUAAAACACGUCGGUAAUGCUCAGUCGUCGGUAUGACUUUGCAUAUGAUCCGCAGUUUACUUGACGCCAGCACGUACGAUAUCGUCAUUGACACGUUUUGAAUAACGAUGAUGGCGUCUGUGAUUAUUAUAACUGCUUAUUUUGUCGAGAUAUCCUGGGUCCGUAUACAUAAUAUAUACGAGAAAAUAUGGGGUCGAAUUGAAAAAUAACGAAUCAAAUUAUAAUACAAUCGGAAAUAUUAUAUAAUAAGUGCGUAUCCGCAAUCAAACCGACGGAGCCUUUUCACCGAACAUCAUAUCGUAGUACUCAUAAUCUUACUCGUAAUCCCCUCGAUGAAAUCUAUACAGUAGGGUAUAUGUAGGUACCCGAUAUUUUUUAUUAUUAUAGCUAGGUUAGAAGAUAAAGUCCCUCGACUAGUCCUUGUCGGCGUAUCCGUCACCGAGCCGGAUUUAGUUCGAAUCGUGCACGGGUUCGCGGCGCGGAUUAAACUCGACAAUAUAAAGUCGUAAAUUACCGGAAAACGAUUAUUGUCCCGAUUACACACAACACGAAUAGAAUAUAUUUAGAAAAAACACAAGCUAGUUUUUAACAACAUUACUCGACUCCGA